GAUGAACGCUGGCGGCGUGCCUAAUACAUGCAAGUCGAGCGAACGGACGAGAAGCUUGCUUCUCUGAUGUUAGCGGCGGACGGGUGAGUAACACGUGGAUAACCUACCUAUAAGACUGGGAUAACUUCGGGAAACCGGAGCUAAUACCGGAUAAUAUUUUGAACCGCAUGGUUCAAAAGUGAAAGACGGUCUUGCUGUCACUUAUAGAUGGAUCCGCGCUGCAUUAGCUAGUUGGUAAGGUAGCGGCUUACCAAGGCAACGAUGCAUAGCCGACCUGAGAGGGUGAUCGGCCACACUGGAACUGAGACACGGUCCAGACUCCUACGGGAGGCAGCAGUAGGGGAUCUGCCGCAAUGGGCGAAAGCCUGACGGAGCAACGCCGCGUGAGUGAUGAAGGUCUUCGGAUCGUAAAACUCUGUUAUUAGGGAAGAACAUAUGUGUAAGUAACUGUGCACGUCUUGACGGUACCUAAUCAGAAAGCCGCGGCUAACUACGUG
rnacentral:rRNA from 1 species